AAAACACUGUCAUUAUCAAUGUUGGAUUAGGAAAGGAAGGCAGAAGAGAGGUUUAGCAACUCGGCCAAGGUGAUGUGUCUAACAAGGAGCCUGACAACGUUCAAAUCCUGUCCAAGUGUCGAUGACCAAGCUAAUCAGCUCUUGCAAAUACAUAAAGCAACUUUUUUCCCCACAGGCCUUGUGUUGCAAAACCAUUAUCUAUAAUCUGCUGCUUUAGGCUACACCGUGUUCAUUCCACUCGAGGCUGACAGAACUUCCUCUCUGUAGGACGUUGUCAGUCUUGUUGCAGAUGGAAAAGGACUUCGUAACUGUAAGCUGGCUCCUAAAGCACCGGCUCAGAAGUGACACAUGCAGGAUCUUGCUCAGUUACCCAGGCUAGAGUGCAGUGAUGACAUCAUAGCUCAUGGCAACCUUGAACUCCUGGCCUCAAGUGACUUUCCCUCAAGAAGUUGAGACUACAGGAGAGUAUGUAUAGAAAAAAUGGACUUGGUGAUUUUCAGAAUAUCUGGGUGAGUUUUGUUUUCACUUCCAUUUAAAUUUUCCUCUUGAAAAGAGUAGCAGCACUCUAAGAAAUGUAAAGUUUUGUGUCAUUUGUAGGGACAUGGAUGAAUCUGGAGAACAUCAUCCUCAGCAAACUGACACAAGAACAGAAAACGAAACACCGCAUAUUCUCACUCAUAGGUGAGUUCUCCUUCUUAGUUCACAUGAGCUCUGGUCGUUUAAAGGAGUGUGGCAACUCUCCCAUCUCUUGCUCCUGCUCCUACCAUGUUGCAUGCUGGCUCCCUGUUGCCUACCACCAUGAUCGUCAACUUCCUGAAGUCUCUCACCAGAAGCAGAUGCCAGCUCCGUGCUUGCUGUACAGCCAGCAGAACCAUGAACCAAUUAAACCUCUUUUCUUUAUAAAUUACCUAGCAUCGAGUAUUUAUAGCAACACGAGAAUGGACUGACACAAAAGGUUUGAAAAUUCUGCACAAUUAUAGUGUAGUAGACUGAAUAAUGUGCCCCACAGAUGUCAGUAUCCUAACUGCUGUAACUUGUGAAUGUCACAUUACUUGGCAAAGACUUUACUUCUGUGAUUCAGUUAAGAAUUUUGAACUGUGGAUGUUAUCCUUAGCUUCCAAACUGCAUUCUAAAUGUAAUCACAGGUAUCCUUAUAAAUAGGAGACAAAAGGCGAUUUCACACAGAUAAGAAAAAGUCAGUGUGACCAAGGAGACAGAGACUGGAGUGAUGGAAUCACGAACCCAGUAUGCCAGGAGCCACCAGAACACAAAAAAGUAAAUAAGGAUUUUCUUCUAGAUCCUCCAAGGGAGUGUGGCCUUUAGACACCUGCAUGUCAGAUUUUGGACUUCUGGCCUCCCGAGAUGUAAGACAAUAGAUUUACGCCACCAAGUUUGUGCUAAUUGGUUACAGCAGACAUAAGUUAAUGAAUUUUCUAUCUGCUUCUGAAAUCAGUGAAAAUUUAACAUACCUUCAGGUUCAUCUUUGGAGUAUCUGUAAAUAAAAGCUUUGCUUAUCACUCUAGUAUUUGUAGGUUCCUGGUUCUAGCUCACAGUGUAUGAUUGGGUUGACAGAAUUAGCAGAUAAAAAUACAGGCUGUUCAGUUAAACUGCAAUUUUGAAUAAGCGAUGGAUAAUAUUUUACUUAAAAUUUAAACUAAACUAGACAUUCUAUGUUUUUCCGGCAUGUGAUAUAAGUUGGAAAAGAAGCAACUGGUUUUGUAUAUCAGAACUGUUUUUCAGGGCUCAGACCCAUGCUACUGAAUUCACAGCCCAGUAAAAUUCUAACUGACUUUAUAUCUUAGAAAGACAGAGAAAACAAGCUCUGAUGAAAUAAAACUGAGUUUCCCUGCUCUCAUGCAAAAAAAAAAAAAAAAAGGUAAAAAAAGAUAUAAAUAAAAGAGAGGGCAAGUGAGUGGAAGAAAUGUAGGAGGUGCUCUGUCCCCUGGUAGACUCAAGCUGUGGCCUAGGUGUCUGGUUUCCUCACUUGAAUAUGACAGAGAAUAGCUAUCUCUUUAGAGUGAGGGUAACAAAGCCUGAAGGUGGCCUCAUAGAUUUUUUAGGAAAUUCAAAGCAAAUGAGCCUCUCCAUUAUUAUCGGCCUCCAGGAUACUAAUUAAUAAGAAGCAGCCACAUUUCUUGGGCUCAAACCACAAGCAACUUCUGACAGGAAAAAAAUAAAUGAUUGCCUUGGGCCCAAUCUGGUCCAGGGAGGAGAGUAAAUGUCUUCUAGGCAUGUUAGGAUUGUGGCGAAACUUUACUUCACACACGUUAUUGCUCAACACCCAACAAAUCAGAGUUGUUCAUUCAACCCCAUCCGUCAAUGAAGAAAGUGACUUUUUAUUUUAUGGAGCAAGAGGGCAUUGGACCAAAAAUGUCUAACAUUUACUUAUGAAGUUAUCAUGUAAUGUAUAAAUUUAGCACAAACCUGCAAAUAGAUGUGUGAAAAUUCAAGCAUAUUAAUAACUUUUUUUGUGAGGCUCAACCAAAAUAGAACCUACAGAACCUGUUCUACUUUGAAGUUUGGUAAAAUAUUUUAAAAUGCUUGAACUUCAUAUUAAUUUAUGUGAAUUUACAGGUAUAUUCAAUUAAAAAUUGAACUUGUAUAUGUACUGAGUUGGGAAAUAUCUGUAUCUAUUAAACAUUUUUGAAAAAAUAGAGUUUAAUACUGUAUCUGACUCUGAUCAAAGAUAAAUAAUGACGAUAGUCCCCAAGAGAACAGAGAAUUAAAAUAAGAUUUUAAAUAAUACAGAAAGGUUAUAUUUGACUAUGUUUUCUUUCUUGUGGCUGUUUACUUCUCUUGGGCUUUGAUCCUGAAUGUUUAUGCUAAGGGAUUCUUCAAUAUUCCCUUGGGAAAAAGCCUAGUUUUUAUUUUUAUUUUUGAAAGAGAUUUCUUUUUUGUAUAGCUGUGCUCAAAUAAGGCUGGGAAGACAUUUUCUGGACUUGUAUAUUUGGAGCAAAUUCCUUGAUACAUGAGCAGAAAGUCAAUUUUUAUUUUUAUUUUUUAAAUAGGAAAAUAGGCCAGAUGCAGAAAAUAAGCCUGACCUGUAAUCCCAGAACUUUAGGAGGCCCAGGAAGGAGGGCCUGAGCCAAGGAGUUCAAGGUUAUAGUAAGCUAUGAUCGCACCACUGCGCUCCAGUCUCAGCAACAGCGUGAAAUCCUAUGUCUAAAAACAGGAAGAAGAGGGCCGGGUGCGGUGGCUCACGCCUGUAAUCCCAGCACUUUGGGAGGCUGAGGCAGGUUGGGAGGCUGAGGCAGGUGGAUCAUGAGGUCAAGAGAUCAAGACCAUCCUGGUCAACAUGGUGAAACCCCGUCUCUACUAAAAAUGCGAAAAAUUAGCUGGGCAUGGUGGCGCACACCAGUAGUCCCAACUACUCAGGAGGCUGAGGCAGGAGAAUUGCCUGAACCCAGGAGGCGUAGGGUGUGGUGAGCCAAGAUUGCCCCAUUGCACUCCAGCCUGGGUAACAAGAGCAAAACUCCGUCUCAAAAAAAAAAAAAAAAGAAGAAAAAGAUGUUAAAGGAAACUAAAUUACUUCUACACUCAGAAACCAUACUGAAGUUCAAAAACAUAUUUGACAUCUGGACAUGUAAUAGGAUACACUAAAGUAAUUAAAAGAAAAUAAAAGUUUUUAAUAAGCUUAAUUAGAUAAUCAUAAUU
ensembl:lncRNA